rnacentral:rRNA from 1 species
GAUGAACGCUAGCGGCAGGCUUAAUACAUGCAAGUCGAGGGGCAGCAGUUUUGUAGCAAUACAGAAGCUGGAGACCGGCAAACGGGUGCGGAACACGUACGCAACCUUCCUUUAACUGGGAGAUAGCCCACCGAAAGGUGGAUUAAUAUCACAUAAUAUAACUGAAUGGCAUCAUUUAGAUAUUAAAGCUCUGGCGGUUAAAGAUGGGCGUGCGUCUGAUUAGGUAGUUGGCGGUGUAACGGACCACCAAGACUUCGAUCAGUAGCUGAUGUGAGAGCAUGGUCAGCCACACGGGCACUGGGACACGGGCCCGACUCCUACGGGAGGCAGCAGUAAGGAAUAGUGGUCAAUGGACGCAAGUCUGAACCAGCCAUGCCGCGUGGAGGAUGAAGGCCCUCUGGGUUGUAAACUUCUUUUCUUUGGGACGAAACCCCUGUUUCUACGGGGACUGACGGUACCAGAGGAAUAAGCACCGGCUAACUCCGUGCCAGCCGCCGCCGUAA